AUGGUGCUGUAAAGAUAUUAAUAACAUCUGAAACAUUUCACUUCCUCUAAUGAUGAAAAGCAAGUGAUUGAAACCAGUAUUUCUUUCACAAUUUACAUGACCAGUGCAGCAGAGCUGACAGAAUCAGUCAGCAGCCUUCUGAACGAUGGAGGAGAUUUACGCCAAUGUGGAUUGUGCCAAACUUUCCUACCCAACACCUUCAACAAAUUACACAGGUCCAAGAGGUCCAAGGGGUUUCAAUUUAGUUAUUAUUCUUUCUCUGGGUCUGCUGAGUUUUUUCCUGCUGAUUGGACUCAUCAUCCUUGGUGUCAACUACCGCGACUCCUUACGGGAUUCAGCAGCAGCGUUCUCUGCCAUCAGUAACAACCUUUCCUUCGUGACUGAGGAGAGAGACCUGCUCCAGGCGAACCUCACUGAGAAAACCAAGGAACUUGAAAGGCUUCAGAUGAUGUCUAAACAGAGUCAGUCUUUGUAUGUGCUGUUAAUAUUUAGUUAUUGAGUCUCUUUCUCUUCUCCCCUUCCCCUCACCCCCACAUAGGUCGUGGUAGAUGGCUUCCUCUCUCUUAGACGUAUUCUUCCUCUCUUCCAAAAAGAGAUUGUUUUUUUCCCAUGAGGCCCUCACACACCCAAGUUGUUGGGUCACAAUUUCCCAGACUUCAUGUGCAAACCUUUUGGUUUGGGGGUUGUCGAAACAAAAGAAAAUGACCACAUUCCUGUCGCAGGUUGGUGCUGCCUGCAAAGGAGUUUCUGAAAAUGGUCCUUCAAGCACCCCAUCCAGGGACUCCAAGACAGUUGAGGACUCUGAGCUGCUGCUUGGUGCAUAAGCUUCAACAGUAGCAAGGACCCAUUCCCCAGCCUUAAGGUCAAAGUCUACUUUAAAGCUUGAGAAAGCCUCAAGCUAUGGGUUCUGACUGCCUCUGCCAGAGACUGAUUAUAACCUGUGCUGUGCAUUUGCAGGAGGUAUUUGUAAACCUCCUGCAAAUGCUCAGACUCCUUCCCCACCAGAGAGGUGAUGCUCCAGAGAAAACAUGUCCUUCAAGAUGGAGCAUGUUCAGCUGCAGCUGUUAUCUCCUCUCUGGAAGGUCUGGUUCCUGGGAUGAAGGUAGAAAGGACUGCAGAGACAAAGGAGCAGAUCUAGCAGUGAUAGAGAGCCCUGAAGAACAGAACUACCUCAUUACACUCACCCAGAACCCAACCUGGAUUGGUUUAAAUGACAAAGAAGAAGAAGGAAAGUGGAAAUGGAUAGACGGAACUCCUCUGACUCUAAAAUACUGGGAAAGUAAUCAACCUGAUAAUGGCGCUGGAGACCCACGGUGGGGUGAAGAGGACUGUGCUCAUAUCAGAACUCCUGCUAACAAUUUUUGGAAUGAUCGUUCAUGUGGAGCUUCUCUGCUUUGGGUCUGUGAAAAAAUACCAUAAGAAACAUGAAGAUAUGUGUACCUAUUUUGCAAACUGAGUGAUCAUUGUUGUUUCAUUUUUGUUUGCUUGUUUGUUUUUUUAUUUGUUUGGGUUUUUUUUUUUUUUUAAAGAUUUUUAGAUUUAUUCUACUGAGGAUAGGUAUGCAGCUUAUAGAAAUCCAAUCAAAUCUAAACUAAAUCCAGAAGUGCCUGAAGUGCAUUGCCAUGUAAAUAAUCUGCAUACUGAAUAUGUACUUACUAAGUAACACUGUUCAAAAGUGGAAUAAAGAAACAAAUAAAUGUUUGUCUUUU